AUUCUGCUGUAUUGAUACUUUUACUGCAGUAAAGGAUCUGAGUGCGUCUUCCAUCGCUGCUUUAGGACAGUAAAUGUGUGGACGGAAACGGCAGCAGAGUGAGAGCUCUGCAUUUCUCCCUUCCAGCCGCCAUCCUGCAGAAAUCCCAGAGGAAUUCUGGGAAUGACGAGCAGCAGGAGGCCUCGGUGUUCAGCCUGCAGCUGGCGUCCGGUUAUCAGAAAGGAAAACAUGAAUUGAUACGCAGACAUAUACGAGGGCCGAGAGGAAUGUGUCAAACAUGACAAACUGGUGUUGUUUCUUUAAGGUUUGUGUUAUUUUAACAUUUCUGACAGCGUGUGGAGGCUGAGUUCAGCAGGUGUAUUUAAAGAAACAUCUGCAGUUAUCAGGACUGAUGAUUGAUGAGUGUUCGUGUUAUCAGCUGACAGACUGCAGUUAAUAUCAGGUUAUCCGGCAGGAACGUUUCUCCAACAGAUACCAGGAGGAACAACACUGACAUCACCGCAGUGACCCCGACACAAACAGCUGAGGAGGAAACCUAAACUCGUCUAGGUUCCUUAAAGAGCAUCGUAUCAUCACGUGUUCACCCUAAAAGAAAAUUUUAGGUUCUUCAUCUCUUCCCGUCUCUCACCCCGUUCUUGGAGAAGACGCUGUUCAUCCACUUGGUGAAGGUUUUCUUCUGGACCGCCAUCCUCUGCUCCUGCAGCUCUCGGACCCGCCCCGCCCCGUCCUCGUCCCCCUCCAUCCUGAUUGGCUGUUAAAAAGGGACAAAACACAGCAUUAAUGUUUCCUCAGGUAAACACCUUCAGAGACUGAAAAGAGACUAUUUUAACCCCGUUAUCAGUGGCCUUUUAUUAACAACACCUGUACAGCCUGAAAACUGCUUAUAAACACUAAUAUUUUCCUCCGGAGAUGCUUCUUUCAAAAUUUAAGAGUCUUACGUAGAGGAAGCAGGUUUCUGGUUUCAUAUUUUUAGGUCUGAAAUCUUGCCAUGAAACCUUUUAUAUAAAAAUCUGCUGCAAGUUUGAUGAUUUAGGACGAUUCUGAUUUCCAUUCUGUGCAGCUGAUGUACAAAAGUCUCUCAGUCUUAAUGUCCUCAUGCAGCGCUGUGUCCUACAAAUUUAUAUACAGCAAAUCUGCAACAGCAAAUACAUGUUCUCUCCAUGUCUGCGUGAUGAACAUGAGCUUCAUCCCACAUUCACUGGAGUGAAUGUGAGUGUGGAUGGUUGUCUGUCAGCCCUGUGAUUGACUCCCUACACAUCUCGCCUAAUGUCAGCUGAGAUCUUCUCCAGCUCCUCCACGAGCCUCUAGAGGACCAGCGGUAAAGAAAACGGACGGACAGAUGAUGAGGAAACAUUUUUAGUCGUUCUAGCAGCACGGCGCUACGGGUGGAAACGUCGGUCAGGCUGUGAUAUCUCGAGAAUGAUUGGAUGGAUUUCUAUGAAACUUGGUUCAGACAUGCAUGUUCCCCAGAGGAGGAAUAAUCCCCACUUUAAUGAUCAUCUGACUUUCCCUCUAUAGCGCCACCAGCAGGUUGACUGGUGGCGUAUUGAACAAAGUCUCCCUGCCAGCAAGUCAAGACAGUUUUUAUUUAUAAAGCCCGACAUCACAAAUGUCAAAUGCUUCAGGGAGCUUUACAAUCUACACAGUGAUACAACAUCCUCUAUACUUAGAGCCUUGAGUCAAAUAAGGAAAAACUCCUAAAAAAUUCCUUUAAUGGGGAAAAAAUGGACGAAAGAUCAGCAGCGGCGGCGGAGGAUUCCUCUCCCAGGACGGACAGACUGGAAAUAGAUGUCGUGUGUUCAGAAUAGAACAAAUUACAGAAAUACAACAAGGUCAAACAAAAUGACUGUCUUUUGCUUAUCGAAGGUGGAUUCUGAUGUAACGUUUCCUCUGGUUGGUCAAGACUUUCACUGAGUCAGUGUCAGUUAAAGAUUUUAUUUUUAUUUAUGCUGACAGAAGCAGUUACGCCCCUACUAACAACACUGCUGUAAAGAUUCCACGUGUGUGUGUGUGUGUGUGUGUGUGUGUGUGUGUGUGUGUG